CACGUCGGGUGCGAGCGUUGUCCGGAAUUAUUGGGCGUAAAGAGCUCGUAGGCGGUGUGUCGCGUCGGCCGUGAAAACCUGCAGCUUAACUGUGGGCUUGCGGUCGAUACGGGCAUCACUGGAGUUCGGCAGGGGAGACUGGAAUUCCUGGUGUAGCGGUGAAAUGCGCAGAUAUCAGGAGGAACACCGGUGGCGAAGGCGGGUCUCUGGGCAGUAACUGACGCUGAGGAGCGAAAGCGUGGGGAGCGAACAGG
rnacentral:rRNA from 1 species